rnacentral:misc_RNA from 1 species
UCAGUUCGAAACAUUGAAUCAGGUGUUGAUUCCAAACUGAUAAAAACUUGCAAAAGUGGUUCCAUUGAAGACUUGAAUUUCACUGGGCUGUCGUCCAUAAAUAUUAACCAACCAAUAGUGUAAUAAAAUGUUGUUCUACUACGAGAGCAUCUAUACUCUUCUAGAAAAGGAAAGUGCUCCCUAGUAUGGUUAGCGACUAUAAAUUUAAUAGCAUCCAACUUCAGAAGCAACUUCCCAGUCAUAUAGCCAGAUGCCAACUCCAAAAACAAAUUUAAUGUGUGAUCAAUGACUUCCUCACUCUGUGUAUAACACUUAAGAUUAGUAGCAAUCUUCCUGACAAUCACAUUUAAUAAUACCAGAUGAUCGUGUAGUCCAAGAAGCUCAGACAAUCGAGCAUAUAACUGCUUGGAUGAGUGCACAGCUGAUCACCCACAUAAGACUUUCGGAAAUGCUGAAAGAAGGUGAGAAUUGCUCGAUCAAGUCUUUGCUUACUCAGUUCG